rnacentral:rRNA from 1 species
UACGGAAGGCAGCAGUGGGGAAUAUUGGACAAUGGGCGAAAGCCUGAUCCAGCCAUGCCGCAUGAGUGAAGAAGGCCUUCGGGUUGUAAAGCUCUUUUAGUGAGAAAGAUAAUGACGGUACUCACAGAAGAAGUCCUGGCUAACUCCGUGCCAGCAGCCGCGGUAAUACGGAGAGGGCUAGCGUUAUUCGGAAUUAUUGGGCGUAAAGAGCGCGUAGGCUGAUUAGUAAGUUAAAAGUGAAAUCCCAAAGCUUAACUUUGGAAUUGCUUUUUAAAAACUGCUAGUCUAGAGAUUGAAAGAGGAUAGAGGAAUUCCUAGUGUAGAGGUGAAAUUCGUAAAUAUUAGGAGGAACACCAGUGGCGAAGGCGUCUAUCUGGUUCAAAUCUGACGCUGAGGCGCGAAGGGCGUGGGGAGCAAACAGGGAUUAGAUACC